rnacentral:rRNA from 1 species
UACGAAGGGGGCUAGCGUUGCUCGGAAUUACUGGGCGUAAAGGGAGCGUAGGCGGAUAGUUUAGUCAGAGGUGAAAGCCCAGAGCUCAACCUUGGAAUUGCCUUUGAUACUGGCUAUCUUGAGUACGGAAGAGGUAUGUGGAACUCCGAGUGUAGAGGUGAAAUUCGUAGAUAUUCGGAAGAACACCAGUGGCGAAGGCGACAUACUGGUCCGUUACUGACGCUGAGGCUCGAAAGCGUGGGGAGCAAACAGG